rnacentral:rRNA from 1 species
GACGAACGCUGGCGGCGUGCCUAAUACAUGCAAGUAGAACGCUGAAGGAGGAGCUUGCUCUUCUGGAUGAGUUGCGAACGGGUGAGUAACGCGUAGGUAACCUGCCUGGUAGCGGGGGAUAACUAUUGGAAACGAUAGCUAAUACCGCAUAACAGUAGAUGUUGCAUGACAUUUGCUUAAAAGGUGCAAUUGCACCACUACCAGAUGGACCUGCGUUGUAUUAGCUAGUUGGUGGGGUAACGGCUCACCAAGGCGACGAUACAUAGCCGACCUGAGAGGGUGAUCGGCCACACUGGGACUGAGACACGGCCCAGACUCCUACGGGAGGCAGCAGGAGGGAAUCUUCGGCAAUGGACGGAAGGCUGACCGAGCAACGCCGCGGGAGUGAAGAAGGUUGUCGGAUCGUAAAGCUCGGUUGUAAGAGAAGAACGAGUGUGAGAGUGGAAAGUUCACACUGUGACGGUAUCUUACCAGAAAGGGACGGCUAACUACGUG